CGAUGAGCGAUUCCAUCCAUUACGCCUAUAAUCGAUAAUUGGGAAAUAGGAUUUUGUUCAAAAAACUCAAGAACAAAUUCAGAAGCAUACUUUAUCUGAAGGUCGAACCGCUUAUGAUGAAAAUCACGCUCCUCCAUAGAGUUGCUCAAAUCUAACACCAAGACCAUGUGUCUAAUAAUACCUCGUUGUAACGGAGUUGUAUCUCUAAGAAGUCUAAAUCAGAUUGACAAGUUAGUAUACCGUUCAUCGAUGCUAUAAAAGACUAAUAUGUUUCCAAAUGCCCAACAUAGGCAACUAACAAACAAAUGAAGAACAUAAGAAAACCAAUUUUGAUACGCCAUACCUUUUACGUUUCCCGCUUUGAAUAAGCCCAGCGAUAACGCCUACUAAACUACCCUCUGCGUCCUCCUGUACGAUAUCCCAAGAACGCUGAUAUUCACCUUCCCAAGUAUAACCCUCAUUAUCGUCAGUUUUCCUGCUUCUUACUUUAACUCUUCCAUUUUUUUGUUCAUCCUCGCUUUCCGACUUGUCAGAGUCAAAACUUUUUUGGUUCUCAUUCAUUGAGUGUUAUUUUAACCGAGCAUAGGUAUUAUGCCAGAACGCUAUUUGAUAAUUAGAUAAAUGAAUAUUGCACAAAUUCUAUUCCUUGGUUUCUACAGACUAAAGAACUCAAAGCGAAUGUAUUUCUUCAAGUCACGUUUUACCCAGUGAACUUUUGGUAAUUUGAAUAGUCGCGUCGAGUUGCUUUACAUGCAAUGAGCGAAAGUUCUUUCUUUUAUUAUUUUUAGUUUUAUUUUUUUAAAAAGCAAUGACUCCUGGGCAUACCAGUAAAAUGGUAAGACUAAGUAAGUACUAGAACAAGAGACCAUUUACACGAAGACAAUACGGACAAGGAGCGCAACCAUUAUUUGUUAAAUAUAAUAAUGAAUUUCGUUAUGC